AUACUGAGGGUGCGAGCGUUAAUCGGAAUUACUGGGCGUAAAGCGCGCGUAGGCGGUUUGUCAAGUCAGAUGUGAAAGCCCUGGGCUCAACCUGGGAACUGCAUUUGAAACUGGCAAACUAGAGUUUGGUAGAGGGUGACGGAAUUCCAGGUGUAGCGGUGAAAUGCGUAGAUAUCUGGAGGAACAUCAGUGGCGAAGGCGGUUGCCUGGACCAAAACUGACGCUGAGGUGCGAAAGCGUGGGGAGCAAACAGGAUUAGAUACCCCAGUAGUCC
rnacentral:rRNA from 1 species